rnacentral:lncRNA from 13 species
AUGACCACCCCUGGGGCUGAAGGGCAGAGCUGGGCAUGUCAUCCCUGGAUCUCAGUGAGGCCAGGAGCCGUGGGAGAGGGAGGUCCUUUAAGGACUAGAGCUACGGAGAGAUACAGUGUGAAACCACAAAUUGCAUCUAGGACACAGAGCAGCCUGGAGGAGCAGGCUCAGGGAAUGGGAGACGGACGACUGGAGAAGAACCAGCACAUGGGACAAUCUCCAAGACAUACUCUGGAGUCUAGCACUUUGAGACAAAGGUGUUGGCAGCGCCGGUUCCUUCUGAGAGCCAUGAGGGUCUCCUCCUCCGUUCCACUGCUGAGGGAAGCCUGGAAAGUCACAGCCAUGAAGUAG